UCAGACUAGCCACCUUUCUAGUGCUCAAUAGUCACAUAUAGUUGCUGCCAGAUUGAACAACGCAGAUCUAAAGUUCUAUUGCACACACCAACAACAUGUACAGAUUUUUUUUUCAAUACUCCAAAUAUUUUUCAACUUAUGAAACAUCUAGAAUCUCAAACAGGAGGAUUUUUUAAAGUCAGGUAAUUUGCAAAUUUAGAAAUAUUUGAGGAUGUGAAGCUGGGUGUGGUAGCAUGCCUGUAAUCCCAGCAUUCAGGAGCCUGAGGUAGGAUUACCUUGAAGUUCAAGAUACAUAGUUCAAGGCCAGCCUGAACUACUAGGAAGACCCUGUAUUAAAAAAAAAAAAGGCAGGGGAUUUAGCUCAAGUGCUGCGCCUGCCUAGCAAACACAAGGUCCUGAGUUUGAUCCCUGGUACCAGAAAAAAAAAAACAACUGAGGUUGUACAGAGAAAACAAUUUAAAAUCACACUUCUCAAUAUGCUAAACUCUAGCCAACUCUUAAGGUUCAAUUCAAACCCACAAAAAACUCUCCAUCCCAAUUACAGUUUUGUUUUGUUUGUUUUGUUUUUGUGGUACUGGGGAUUGAACUAAAGACCUUAUGCUUGACAGACAGGCAGGCUUGGCACCACUGAGCUACAUGGUUACAUCCCUAACUCGCAAUGACAGUUCCAACUAUUUUUUUUCUGCUGGUCCAUAUCCUCAGAUUCGAAGUCAAGAACAUAUCUAAAUAAAAACAACCACCAUCUUAUCAAGUGCUUAUGAUGUGCCGAACAGUAUGUUAAGUGCUUUACACUCAUCUCAGUUCCUCAACUGAUAAUAAAACUGAUGCAUGUGGAGUUAAUAUAAGUCUCAGAUAUAAACUCUUUGGAAAUGAUGUUACCUUUGAAACUUUGUGAUAUGUAGAAAUGUCCUAUAUCAUAUGGGUGCGUAUAUUUUCUCAAAGGUUAUAUAUACACUUUCUGAACCACAAGAAACUGAACAAUUAAUUAUCACUCAUAUUCUGGGCUCUGUGAUUGUUUUAUGUGAUUGAUUUUUGUCUGACACUCCUGGCUAGUAAGCUCCUUUACUGUGUACUAUAGAUGUCUUUCUGUGUGCAGAGGCAGACAGAGCAGUGGCUCAUUAAUGCCAGUUUCACUGUCAAAGAUAUUUGGCAUUUCCAAUGAUUUUUAUAGAAGCAGGCUCAUGGUCCUGAUAUCUUACUAGCAGUAUUUUAGUUUCACUGGUCCCUCACAAUGACCUUCAGAAGCUCCUUCAUUAAUGAGCCAAAAAUUGGCUGGGUGUGGUAGUGCAAGCCUGUAAUCCCAGCACUCAGGAAGCUGAGGCAGGAAGAUCACCAUGAGUUGGAGGCCAGCCAG
rnacentral:lncRNA from 1 species